CUCUACUGGACGCAGGAGCAGUUUCACUCUACUGUACUUUGAGACGUCCAGAGUAUUCAAAGGAGGGGAUACCACAGAUUGCAGUUCUCAAACAGAAUAUUGGGAGUACCUCCAAUAUUUGGAAUCUUGGCAUCAGGCAGUAGUAGCUCUCCCUGAAAUCUGAAUGUUCUUAAAAGAAAAUUUCCAUCUCA